UACGAAGGGGGCUAGCGUUGUUCGGAGUUACUGGGCGUAAAGGGCGCGUAGGCGGCGCACCAAGUCAGGCGUGAAAGCCCUGGGCUCAACCCGGGAAUUGCGCUUGAGACUGGUGUGCUUGAGUACGGGAGAGGAUAGUGGAAUUCCCAGUGUAGAGGUGAAAUUCGUAGAUAUUGGGAAGAACACCGGUGGCGAAGGCGGCUAUCUGGACCGUAACUGACGCUGAGGCGCGAAAGCGUGGGGAGCAA
rnacentral:rRNA from 1 species